CCUACGGGUGGCAGCAGUGAGGACUAUUGGUCAAUGGGCGCGAGCCUGAACCAGCCAAGUCGCGUGAGUGAAGACGGUCCUAUGGAUUGUAAACCUCUUUUGUCGGGGAGCAAAAGACGCCACGCGUGUCGUUCCGAGAGUACCCGAAGAAAAAGCAUCGGCUAACUCCGUGCCAGCAGCCGCGGUAAUAGGGAGGAUGCGAGCGUUCUCAGGUUUUAUUGGGUUUAAAGGGUGCGCAGGCGGAAGAUCAAGUCAGCGGUAAAAUUGAGAGGCUCAACCUAGUCGAGCCGUGGAAACUGGUUUACUUGAGUGAGUGAGAGGUGUGCGGAAUGCGUGGUGUAGCGGUGAAAUGCAUAGAUAUCACGCAGAACUCCGAUUGCGAAGGCAGCAUACCGGCGCUCAACUGACGCUCAUGCACGAAAGUGUGGGUAUCGAACAGGAUUAGAUACCCCAGUAGUC
rnacentral:rRNA from 1 species